rnacentral:lncRNA from 1 species
GGCUCGGAGGUUGCCAGGCAGCUGCUGCCUGCACACAGAGGGCGACUGCAGCUUGGGCGCCCAGGCGGCGGAGCAUGGUCUGGGUGGCCUCUGGAAUGCGUGCGCGCCAGACCUGAGGGCCCUCCUGCUGGUGCCACCUGACCCGGUCUUCCUCUGCUGGAGCCUGGAGCAGCUGGAAUGGCCACUCUGCAGUCACAGGGGAUAGAGUUAAGUUUUCUUAUCCCAGGCAUGCACACAAAAAGACAGAGUCUCGCUCUUGUCACCCAGGCUGGAUGCAGCAUCCUGCUACUGGAUAUGUAGAUAAAAGAGAAGUAUUACAUCUUUGAGAUAUGGAAUCAACCUAAGUGCUGCUCUAAGCAUACAAGUGCAGGUGAAAUGCUCAUUGCAGUGCUGCAAAAAGGUGAGGUCACAGGACACAAACCCAUAUCUGAGACCUGGAUGCCUUCCUCCACGCACUCACCCACUGGCUGUCCUGAGCAUCACCCUGCACCUAUUGUCACAGCAACAAGGGAAAAAUCAGGUGAGUAUUUUCUAUUUCAGUCUAGAAGGCAUAGCCUGCAAAGGAAGGAAGUGUGCUGGGAGAUGGAGCAGGGUCUUUUGUCUGGAAAACGGAAUUCUGGGCUAGAAACUAAGUCGGUGCCAACGCAAUGCAGGGAAGGGGAAAUCAUCACUGGGUCGUGGGCUGCACUCGUGGAGAAGGAAUGGAGGUCAAGACCAUAAACCAGCCCCUAACUGCUUCUCAUUUAAUGUAAUCCUCACUGUUCAUCAUUGUUGGUUUGAAUAAAG